rnacentral:lncRNA from 1 species
CUGGUCAGGGAGGAGUUUGGAAUGUUUCUGGUUGGUGAUGUUGUUUGUGGUUUAUGGUCAU